GGCCAAUUGAGAUUCAAUUAGUCACAACCUCAAUCACUUUAGCAUUAAUUAUGGCUUGAAGCCAAUAAGUGUGAACAAUAUCUUCAAAUGAAAUAUUGCAGAAUCAAUUGCCACAUGCUGCCUUGGAAGUUCAGAUUGAAGAAGGCUUUGAGCAUAGAAAGAAAUUCCUUGACCCCAAGUUCUUCAAUUUCUCACUGACCUUCAAACCUGCACCAUUUCAAUAAAAACAAUAAAAAUGAGAAACACAAGCAUUUCAUUUGGUGCUUGAUUAGCAUGGAAAAUAUUUUUGUAUUAUACAUGAUGAAUAUGAUAGGGACAUCAGAAAAAUUAAUCGAAUUCAUAUUGUUGUUAUCGACCAGUCUAAUUAUACAUGAAUAUGCAACAAUAAAGAUCUAUAACAUCUAAAAACUAGUCUAAAAAAUGACAUGAAAAAACAAGGCCAGA
rnacentral:lncRNA from 1 species